AUUGAACGCUGGCGGCAGGCCUAACACAUGCAAGUCGAACGAGUGGCGGACGGGUGAGUAAUGUCUGGGAAACUGCCUGCUGGAGGGGGAUAACUACUGGAAACGGUAGCUAAUACCGCAUACCAUCGGAUGUGCCCAGAUGGGAUUAGCUAGUAGGUGGGGUAAAGGCUCACCUAGCGGACGAUCCAUAGCUGGUCUGAGCGGAUGAACAGCAACACUGGAACUGAGACACGGUCCAGACUCAUACGGGAGGGAGCAGUGGGGAAUAUUGCAAAAUGGGCGCAAGCCUGAUGCAGCCAUGCCGCGUGUGUGCAGAAGGCCUUCGGGGUGUAAAGUACUUUCAGCGGAGAGGCGUUACCCGCAGAAGAAGCACCGGCUAACUCCGGGCCAGCCGCCGCGGUAAUUC
rnacentral:rRNA from 1 species